CAGCCGCCGCGGUAAUACAGAGGGUGCAAGCGUUAAUCGGAAUUACUGGGCGUAAAGCGCGCGUAGGUGGUUUGUUAAGUUGGAUGUGAAAGCCCCGGGCUCAACCUGGGAACUGCAUCCAAAACUGGCAAGCUAGAGUACGGUAGAGGGUGGUGGAAUUUCCUGUGUAGCGGUGAAAUGCGUAGAUAUAGGAAGGAACACCAGUGGCGAAGGCGACCACCUGGACUGAUACUGACACUGAGGUGCGAAAGCGUGGGGAGCAAACAGGAUUAGAUACCCCCGUAGUCCCUGUCUCUUAUAC
rnacentral:rRNA from 1 species